UCUUGCCACUUGCAGAUCUUUUCGGUUGAACAAACAAAAAAAAUCAUACCGGACUUCAAACUAAAUCAAAAAGGGGGUAAAAAGAAGCCUGAAACAUGUCAACAAAAAAAAUUUAAUAGAAGAAAACGUUCACCUAACUGCAACCAAAUCCCAAAAUAACAUUAGUUUUCUUCACAGAAACAGUGCUCCUGGCGGCUGACCAGCCAGGAGAUAGCCCUCCCUCCGAGAACACCUCUCGCCAUGACGUCUACUCAUACUGGACGUCCCAGGUCUGACCCUUGACUUACCAUAUUUUAUCCCAUCCCCACCACCUUUUUAAUAGGGCUUUAAGCCGAAGACAUUUUUAUCUUUUCAGGUUUAAUCCAGUACCUAUUUAUUAAAACUAUAUUACAUAUUUGGCAAAAAAAAACAAUUCAUUCCAUCGUAAUUUGAAUCAAAAUCUAACAAUUUACAGCGAAUUAUAAUAUAAAAAUUUCAGAAAAAAACAAAGAAUUGCCAAUAAAAAUCAAUUUUCGAAAGUAUUCUUUUCUUUUUGUACUUUUAGGGCUUAACGGCGGGCACCCAGAGUGUAGAACCUUGACGGCAGCUUGUGACUAAGGCUUUUUCCCAAAACAUGAGGACGAACAAAGGAAUGUAGGUCGAUACCACAUUAAAUCGACGAUCUAAACAAUGCCUGGUAACCUAACCUUGAAUUGAGCUCAGUUCAAUGUCGCGUACAUGCAUACCAACACAAAGUAAGUAAAAAAUUUAAUAUUAACUCGUUUGUUCACCCUUUUUAAUUUAUUUAUUCUUUUCAGGAAAAACCGCGGAAUUUAAUUAUGUAGCUUAGUCGUCCGUCUGUCUGUCCGGAGUUAAAUAAGUUUCAGUGUCAAUUGGGAAUGAUACCAAGCCACGCUGGAGCAGCAAUGGCGUAAACUCUGCGCCUCCCUCGAUGGAUUGGAUGGGCGAUGGUGUGGCUUGUAGGCUCCAAUUCUUCAUGAAUUUUUAGGUUUAAGAUUUAUAUUCAUUGCUUUAGAAUUUUAGUCAAUUGUUUGGGUUUUUUUUUUCAAUAUUGUUAAAUUGUUUUCAAACUUUGUUUAAUUUUAAAAAAGGUUCAAUUUUCUUUUAAUUUUCAAUUUUU